CCCUCUGAUCUCCUGGUUUUGUGUUAAGGUUUCCAUCUUUUGCGGUAGCUGUUAUUGUUUGAUUGGAAAUGGGAUUUGACUCGCUGCUUAGCCCGCCGCCUGUUUGAUUCUUGAUCUGGUUAUGGAUCUGCUCUACACCAAUUUUUCUUUGAAUGAAUUGGUUUGUAUUUAGCCCACCAUCAUUUUGAUGCUUGUUCUCUUUUGUGUUUCUGCUCCACUCAAUCUACUACUAAAGCCUUAAUUUCUUUUUUUUCUUUUUCUUUGAAAGAAUUAAGUUGCUAUUUAGCCCGCUACCUGACUGAUGUUUUCUCUAGCUAUGUUUCUGCUCCACACAAUCGAUCAAAGUUUGAAUUUUACUUUGAAUGAAUUGGGUGUGUAUCUAGCCCACCAUCUGUUUGAUGCUUGUCCUAUUUUAUGAAUCUGCUCCGCAAAAUCGGUUGAAGUUUGAAUCUUUCUUCUUGAGUGAACUGGGCUUGUAUUGAGCCCACCAUCUGUUUGAUGCUUGUUCUGUUCAUGUUUCUGCUCCGCACAAUCUAUUAAAGUUUGAAUUUUUAAUGAGAAUUUCAUGUGGUGGGUGUGCUUCUGAAUUGGUCCUUAUUGAACUCGCUACCUGUUCAACAGUAUGCUUAUGUGUCCGUCCACCGUCUGCUUGGUGCUUGUUCGAUGUGUAGAGUUUCCUAAAUUUGUUCAUUUCGGUGCCUUUAUUUUCAGCAUAUUUAUGAGAAUUAGGCGCCCUUGAAUGGUUUGCGUAUGCUUCAGUUAUGGGCCUUGAUGUGUCCACCUCUGUUUGAUGUUUGUUCUCAGUAUGUUUCUUAUCUACAAUCUCUUUUCAAAUUGUUGAUAAACAUAUGUGGGUAUCAUUUAGCACUGCUUUCUGCUAAUUUCUCAGACUGUUUGGUGUUGUAUUGCUUCCAAAAUUUUCAGUUAUGGCAUGUCGGCCUUCAUGUAGGCUAAAUGCGACACUUUGGUUCUUUUAGUAAGAUGUUGUUGUAUAUGAUACUUCUCUAUUUCUACGAUUAACUAUGUAACCAUGAACUUCUUCAUCCCAGAAUCUAUAUUUUUGCGCUUUGUGAAUUUCAUUUGUGGGCGUUACUAAGACCUAAAAAGUAGUAAUAGAUGUAGUUGGACAAUAAAUAAUGGAAAAAUUCUUUUAGGGAUGUUGUUAUAUUUUUCUGUUCCUCUUAGUUAAUCAGAACCAUAAUUUUUUGCACAAAGAAGUGGUUUAUCUUCUGCCAAACAAUUCUUUGGGUGCUGAACAGUGGUGUAUCGAUUUAAAUUCAUAUUUGAUGGUUCUCUUCGUAGCACUUGAAAAUGUAAACUACUCUUCUGUGAUUAGUAUUUCCUGAUAAUUGCAACUAUAUCCAACAUUAUUGCCGAGCUGUUGUUGUCAUCUUGUUUUAGGGCCUUGCCUUCUAUUUCAAUCUGCUAAAGUUUUAUUGAAUCGGAACGCCUCAACUUUUCUGGCGACAACUUUUCAAUAUUUAUUCUCAGUAAAUUCACCUGCAUGUUCUGUAAUUAUUUGAAUGUUACUUCUGUGUUAGAAAAAAAAAAAAAUCAUCAAAAGUAAUGUUGUUUGCAAAUAGUUGUUUCUCUGAUGAAUAUGUUGAGAUGGUUUUGAUGUAGUCUCUCCAGGAAAUGGGUGUUAGGUAAAAAAACACAUGCGUAGAUGCUUCUUGUGAGAAGGAUUACAAAGGAUAAGGUGAGAAUAAUCAUCUUAAACGCUUUUGAAUGUUUUUAACAGUGACAUUCUGUGCUGGCAUAAGGAUUGUUUUGCUUCUCUCCAAAGUUGUAAGGUGCAAAAAUGUCGUAUUAAUUUUUUUUUUUUUUUUAAAGAACUAAAAAAGAAAGAAAAACUGAGAAGAGCUUAAAUAAUUGUGAGUAUAUUAUUUCUUUUGGAGGAAUGGAGAAAUGGGCUGGGUUUUCAUAAUGCGGCCUCAUGUGAUAGAGGCAAUGUAUUUUUUUUUUGAGAGAAAGGUAGCACGCUAUUUGCUUCAUUCAAUAAGAGAAAUGAACUAAGCGUACAAGGUGGAAGCAGUUUAGGCUUCCGUGAGUGAUAGAGGCAAUGUGGAGUGAGAAUUCUUUAAUCUUUCUGUAUAAUUUUAUGGUUUAUG
rnacentral:lncRNA from 1 species